rnacentral:rRNA from 1 species
AACGAUGUCAACUAGUUGUCGGGUCUUAACGGGCUUGGUAACGUAGCUAACGCGUGAAGUUGACCGCCUGGGGAGUACGAUCGCAAGAUUAAAACUCAAAGGAAUUGACGGGGACCCGCACAAGCGGUGGAUUAUGUGGAUUAAUUCGAUGCAACGCGAAAAACCUUACCUACCCUUGACAUGUAUUGAAACCCGCAGAGAUGUGGGUGUGCCCGAAAGGGAACGAUAACACAGGUGCUGCAUGGCUGUCGUCAGCUCGUGUCGUGAGAUGUUGGGUUAAGUCCCGCAACGAGCGCAACCCUUGUCAUUAGUUGCCAUCAUUUAGUUGGGCACUUUAAUGAGACUGCCGGUGACAAACCGGAGGAAGGUGGGGACGACGUCAAGUCCUCAUGGCCCUUAUGGGUAGGGCUUCACACGUAAUACAAUGGCGCGUACAGAGGGUUGCCAACCCGCAAGGGGGAGCUAAUCUCAGAAAGCGCGUCGUAGUCCGGAUCGGAGUCUGCAACUCGACUCCGUGAAGUCGGAAUCGCUAGUAAUCGCGGAUCAGCAUGUCGCGGUGAAUACGUUCCCGGGUCUUGUACACACCGCCCGUCACACCAUGGGAGUGGGUUCCACCAGAAGCAGGUAGUCUAACCGCAAGGAGGGCGCUUGCCACGGUGAGAUUCAUGACUGGGGUGAAGUCGUAACAAGGUAGCCGUA